UACGUAGGGGGCGAGCGUUGUCCGGAUUCAUUGGGCGUAAAGAGCUCGUAGGCGGUUUGGCAAGUCGGGUGUGAAAUCUCUGGGCUCAACUCAGAGAGGCCACUCGAUACUGCUAUGACUAGAGUCCGGUAGGGGACCAUGGAAUUCCUGGUGUAGCGGUGAAAUGCGCAGAUAUCGGGAAGAACACCGGUGGCGAAAGCGCUCUGCUAGGCCGCAACUGACACUGAGGGACGAAAGCUAGGGGAGCGAAUGGG
rnacentral:rRNA from 1 species